rnacentral:rRNA from 1 species
AGUCGAACGGCAGCACGGACUUCGGUCUGGUGGCGAGUGGCGAACGGGUGAGUAAUGUAUCGGAACGUGCCUAGUAGCGGGGGAUAACUACGCGAAAGCGUAGCUAAUACCGCAUACGCCCUUCGGGGAAAGCGGGGGGACCUUCGGGCCUCGCACUAUUGGAAGCAGCUUCGAUAUCGGAUUAGCUAGUUGGUGGGGUAACGGCUCACCAAGGCGACGAUCCGUAGCUGGUUUGAGAGGACGACCAGCCACACUGGGACUGGAGACACGGCCCAGACUCCUGCGAGGAGGCAACAGUGGGGAAUUUUUGGACAAUGGGAAACCCUGAUCCAGCCAUCCCGCGUGUGCGAUGAAGGCCUUCGGGUUGUAAAGCACACUUUUGGCAGGAAAGCGGCACAGGAUAAUACGUGCAACUGACGGUACCUGCAGAAUAAGCACCGGCUAACUACGUGCCAGCAGCCGCGGUAAUACGUAGGGUGCAAGCGUUAAUCGGAAUUACUGGGUGUAAAGCGUGCGCAGGCAGUUCGAAGAAAGAUGUGAAAUCCCGAAACGCUUUGGGCCAUUUUUGGCUCGAGCUAGAGUGUGUGUCAGAGGAGGUGGAAUUCCGCGCGUGUAGCAAUUGAAAUGCGUAGAUAUGCGGAGGAACACCGAUAGCGAAGGCAGCCUCCUGGGAUAACACUGACAACUCAUGCACGAAAGCGUGAAACGACUGGGAUUAGAUACCUGGUAGUCCACGCCCUAAACGAUGUCAACUAGCUGUUGGGGCCUUCGGGCGCUGGUAGCGCAGCUAACGCGUGAAGUUGACCACCGCCUGGGAAGUACGGUCGCAAGAUUAAAACUCAAAAGAAAUUGACGGGGACCCACAAGCGGUGGAUGAUGUGGAUUAAUUCGAUGCAACACGAAAAACCUUACCUACCCUUGACAUGUCUUAGAUCGAGAUUUGGGAGUGCUCGCAAGAGAACCGGAGCACAGGUGCUGCAUGGCUGUCGUCAGCUCGUGUCGUGAGAUGUUGGGUUAAGUCCCUGGCAGGCGCAACCCUUGUCAUUAGUUGCUACGAGGAGCACUCGUAAAGGACGCGGUGACAAACCGGAGGAAGGUGGGGAUGACGUCAAGUCCUCAUGGCCCUUAUAGGUGGGGCUUCACGUCAUACAAUGAAUGGGACAGAGGGUCGCCAACCCGCGAGGAAGGAGCCAAUCCCAGAGAAACCCGAUCGUAGUCCGGAUCGCAGUCUGCAACUCGACUGCGUGAAGUCGGAAUCGCUAGUAAUCGCGGAUCAGCAUGUCGCGGUGAAUACGUUCCCGGGUCUUGUACACACCGCCCGUCGCACCAUGGAAUUGGGUUUUGCCGAAGUGAAUUAGCCUAACCGUAAGGAGGCGAUUACCACGGUAGGAUUCAUGACUGAAAUUGAAGUCGUAACAAGGUAA